rnacentral:rRNA from 1 species
GACGAACGCUGGCGGCGUGCUUAACACAUGCAAGUCGAACGGAAAGGCCCUGCUUUUGUGGGGUGCUCGAGUGGCGAACGGGUGAGUAACACGUGGGUAACCUGCCCUUGACUUUGGGAUAACUUCAGGAAACUGGGGCUAAUACCGGAUAGGAGCUCCUUCUGCAUGGUGGGGUUUGGAAAGUUUCGGCGUGUGGGUAUGGACUCGCGGCUUUUCAGCUUGUUGGUGGGGUAGUGGCUUACCAAGCCUUUGAGGGGUAGCCGGCCGGAGAGGGUGACCGGCAACAUUGGGACUGAGAUACGGCCCAGACUCCUACGGGAGGCAGAAGUGGGGAAUAUUGAAAAAUGGGCGGAAGCCUGAUGAAGCAACGCCGCGUGCGGGAUGAGGGCCUUCGGGUUGUAAACCGCUUUCGCCUGUGACGAAGCGUGAGUGACGGUAAUGGGUAAAGAAGCACCGGCUAACUACGUG